CCUACGGGAGGCAGCAGUGAGGAAUAUUGGUCAAUGGGCGCGAGCCUGAACCAGCCAAGUAGCGUGAACGAUGACUGCCCUACGGGUUGUAAACUUCUUUUAUAAGGGAAUAAAGUGAGGCACGUGUGCCUUUUUGUAUGUACUUUAUGAAUAAGGAUCGGCUAACUCCGUGCCAGCAGCCGCGGUAAUACGGAGGAUCCGAGCGUUAUUCGGGUUUAUUGGGUUUAAAGGGAGCGUAGAUGGGUUGUUAAGUCAGUUGUGAAAGUGUGCGGCUCAACCGUAAAAUUGCAAUUGAUACUGGCAGUCUAGAGAACAGUUGAGGUAGGCGGAAUUCGUGGUGUAGCGGUGAAAUGCUUAGAUAUCACGAAGAACUCCGAUUGCGAAGGCAGCUUACUAAACUGCCACUGACAUUGAUGCUCGAAAGUGUGGGUAUCAAACAGGAUUAGAUACCCUAGUAGUC
rnacentral:rRNA from 1 species